GACGAACGCUGGCGGCGUGCCUAACACAUGCAAGUCGAGCGGAGUCGAUCGACGGAAGCCUUCGGGCGGAAGAUGGUUGACUUAGCGGCGGAUGGGUGAGUAACGCGUGGGCAACCUGCCUCGAAGACCGGGAUAACAGCCCGAAAGGGCUGCUAAUACCGGAUGUGGUCAAGGAUCCGCAUGGAUUUUUGAUUAAAGGGGAAACCCGUUUCGAGAUGGGCCCGCGUCCUAUCAGCUAGUUGGUGAGGUAAAAGCUCACCAAGGCGACGACGGGUAGCCGGCCUGAGAGGGUGACCGGCCACACUGGAACUGAGACACGGUCCAGGCUCCUACGGGGGCAGCAGUGGGGAAUCUUCCACAAUGGGCGAAAGCCUGAUGGAGCGACGCCGCGUGAGCGAAGAAGGCCUCGGUUGUAAAGCUCUGUCUGGAGGGACGAAGGAAGUGACGGUACCUCCGGAGGAAGCCACGGCUAACUACGUG
rnacentral:rRNA from 1 species